UACAGAGGGUGCGAGCGUUAAUCGGAAUUACUGGGCGUAAAGAGCGCGCAGGCGGUCGUUCAAGUCGCGUGUGAAAGCCCCCGGCUCAACUGGGGAGGGUCACGCGAUACUGAUCGACUCGAAGGCAGGAGAGGGUAGUGGAAUUCCCGGUGUAGUAGUGAAAUGCGUAGAUAUCGGGAGGAACACCAGUGGCGAAGGCGACUACCUGGCCUGUUCUUGACGCUGAGGCGCGAAAGCUAGGGGAGCAAACGGG
rnacentral:rRNA from 1 species